GUUGGGCAUGGUGGCACAUGCCUGUGGUCCUAGCUACUCAGGAGACUGAGGUGGGAGAAUUACUUGAGCCCAGGAGGCUGAGGCUGCAGUGAGCCUGGAUCACACCACUGCACUCCAGCCUGGGCGACAGAGUAAGACCCUGUCUCAA
rnacentral:SRP_RNA from 1 species